rfam:Oryza nivara chromosome 12, whole genome shotgun sequence.
GCAGCACCCCUUCCUCCGCCCACUCGGCCGCCAUGUGGCAGCCGAGUGAGGGCCUCGGGGCGGCGC